rnacentral:rRNA from 1 species
AAUGAACGCUGGCGGCGUGCCUAACACAUGCAAGUCGAACGCGAAAGCCCUGCUUGCAGGGUGAGUAGAGUGGCGAACGGGUGAGUAACGCGUGGGUAACCUACCCUCCAGUUGGGGAUAAUCCCGCGAAAGUGGGUCUAAUACCGGAUGACAUCGCCUCUCCUCGGAGGGGUGAUCAAAGAUGGCCUCUGGUACAAGCUAUCGCUGGGGGGGGGGCUCGCGUCCUAUUAGCUUGUUGGUGGGGUAACGGCCCACCAAGGCGACGAUGGGUAGCCGGCCUGAGAGGGUGUCCGGCCACACUGGAACUGAGACACGGUCCAGACUCCUACGGGAGGCAGCAGUGGGGAAUUUUUCGCAAUGGGCGAAAGCCUGACGAAGCGACGCCGCGUGGACGAUGAAGGCCUUCGGGUCGUAAAGUCCUGUCGGGUGGGAAGAAAAGUAUGAGUUCGAAUAAAGCUCAUGCUUGACGGUACCACCCAAGGAAGCCCCGGCCAACUCCGCGCCAGCAGCCGCGGUAAUACGGGGGGGGCAAGCGUUAUUCGGAAUCACUGGGCGUAAAGGGCGUCUAGGCGGUCGGGUAAGUCGUGGGUGAAAGCCCCCGGCUCAACCGGGGAAGUGCCUGCGAAACUAUCCGACUUGAGGUCGGGAGAGGAAAGUGGAAUUCCCAGUGUAGCGGUGAAAUGCGCAGAUAUUGGGAGGAACACCAGUGGCGAAGGCGGCUUUCUGGACCGACCCUGACGCUGAAGCGCGAAAGCUAGGGGAGCGAACGGGAUUAGAUACCCCGGUAGUCCUAGCCGUAAACGAUGGGCACUUGGUGUAGCAGGAUUUAAAACCUGCUGUGCCGAAGCUAACGCAUUAAGUGCCCCGCCUGGGGAGUACGGCCGCAAGGCUGAAACUCAAAGGAAUUGACGGGGGCCCGCACAAGCGGUGGAGCAUGUGGUUUAAUUCGAUGCAACGCGAAGAACCUUACCGGGGCUUGAAGUGUGGUUGACAGGAUGAGAAAUUAUCCCUUC